UACGAAGGGGGCUAGCGUUGCUCGGAUUGACUGGGCGUAAAGGGCGCGUAGGCGGCUUGUACAGUCAGACGUGAAAUUCCUGGGCUCAACCUGGGGGCUGCGUUUGGAUACGUAUGGGCUUGAGUUCGGAAGAGGGUCGUGGAAUUCCCAGUGUAGAGGUGAAAUUCGUAGAUAUUGGGGAAGAACACCGGUGGCGAAGGCGGCGACCUGGUCCGAUACUGACGCUGAGGCGCGAAAGCGUGGGGGAGCAAACAGG
rnacentral:rRNA from 1 species